ACGGAGGUUGCAAGCGUUGUCCGGAUUCAUUGGGCGUAAAGCGUGCGUAGGCGGAUUAUUAAGUCUGGUGUGAAAGCCCGAGGCUCAACCGCAGAUCGGCAUUGGAUACUGGUAAGCUAGAGUGCGGUAGAGGUAAACGGAAUGCCUAGUGUAGCGGUGAAAUGCGUAGAUAUCAGGCGGAACACCGAUGGCGUAGGCAGCUUACUGAGCCGUAACUGACGCUGAGGCACGAAAGCGGGGGGAUCAAACAG
rnacentral:rRNA from 1 species